UUGAUAGUACCUUACUACUUGGAUAACCGUGGUAAUUCUAGAGCUAAUACAUGCUAAAAACCCCGACUUACGAAGGGGUGUAUUUAUUAGAUAAAAAACCAAUGCCCUUCGGGGCUCCUUGGUGAUUCAUAAUAACUUGACGAAUCGCAUGGCCUUGCGCCGGCGAUGGUUCAUUCAAAUUUCUGCCCUAUCAACUUUCGAUGUUUGGGUAUUGGCCAAACAUGGUUUCGACGGGUGACGGAGAAUUAGGGUUCGAUUCCGGAGAGGGAGCCUGAGAAACGGCUACCACAUCCAAGGAAGGCAGCAGGCGCGCAAAUUACCCAAUCCCAACACGGGGAGGUAGUGACAAUAAAUACUGAUACAGGGCUCUUUUGGGUCUUGUAAUUGGAAUGAGUACAAUUUAAAUCCCUUAACGAGGAACAAUUGGAGGGCAAGUCUGGUGCCAGCAGCCGCGGUAAUUCCAGCUCCAAUAGCGUAUAUUAAAGUUGUUGCAGUUAAAAAGCUCGUAGUUGAACCUUGGGUCUGGCUGGCCGGUCCGCCUCACCGCGUGCACUGGUCCGGCCGGAUCUUUCUUUCUGGGGAACCGCAUGCCCUUUACUGGGUGUGCUGGGGAAUCAGGACUUUUACUGUGAAAAAAUUAGAGUGUUCAAAGCAGGCCUAUGCUCGAAUACAUUAGCAUGGAAUAAUAAAAUAUGUCAACGGGCUUAUUUUGUUGGUUUCUAGGACCGUUGAAAUGAUUAAUAGGGAUAGUCGGGGGCGUCGGUAUUCAACUGCUAGAGGUGAAAUUCUUGGAUUUGUUGAAGACCAACUACUGCGAAAGCAUUCGCCAAGGAUGUUUUCAUUAAUCAGUGAACGAAAGUUAGGGGAUCGAAGAC
rnacentral:rRNA from 1 species